GACGAACGCUGGCGGCGUGCCUAACACAUGCAAGUCGAACGGAACUGUUUUGAAAGAUUUCUUCGGAAUGAAUUUGAUUUAGUUUAGUGGCGGACGGGUGAGUAACGCGUGAGUAACCUGCCUUCAAGAGGGGGAUAACAUUCUGAAAAGAAUGCUAAUACCGCAUGACAUAUCGGAACCACAUGGUUCUGAUAUCAAAGAUUUUAUCGCUUGAAGAUGGACUCGCGUCCGAUUAGUUAGUUGGUGAGGUAACGGCUCACCAAGACCGCGAUCGGUAGCCGGACUGAGAGGUUGAACGGCCACAUUGGGACUGAGACACGGCCCAGACUCCUACGGGAGGCAGCAGUGGGGGAUAUUGCGCAAUGGGGGCAACCCUGACGCAGCAACGCCGCGUGAAGGAUGAAGGUUUUCGGAUUGUAAACUUCUUUUAUUAAGGACGAAACUUGACGGUACUUAAUGAAUAAGCUCCGGC
rnacentral:rRNA from 1 species